rnacentral:tRNA from 1 species
GGGCGAAUGGUUUAGUGGUAUAAUUUUCCCUUAGCAUGUCCAAAUGUGGGAAAGGUCCAGGGUUCGAUUCCCUGUUCGUCCA